GAUACAAUACAAUAUAAAGACAACAACAAACUUAUGUUCUUAUUACAAUCAUCACAAAUGGACAUAGUUAAAUGGAUCACUAAGGAGGUCGAGGGACUAGUCAAAGUCACCAAACACAUCAUUUGAGGUGUACUCAAGUAACAUGGCCUCCGUUUCAGCAGGGUCCUCAAGAGGAUAAGGAAUCUUGGCGUUGCUUGGUCCAGGAGGAAUAUCCUGUGAAUCGCCAGCUCCAUUUGCGCUAUGUGGAUGUAGGUUGAAGUUAGCUUCAAGCCUUUUCCCUUGAGGUGCUUUGAGUCCCUGAGAUUGCUGGUACAGCAUGACCAGAUGCGUGGGC
rnacentral:lncRNA from 1 species